UACAGAGGGGGCAAGCGUUGUUCGGAAUUACUGGGCGUAAAGGGCGCGUAGGCGGCCUGUUAAGUCGAACGUGAAAUCCCCGGGCUCAACCCGGGAACUGCGUCCGAUACUGGCAGGCUUGAAUCCGGGAGAGGGAUGUGGAAUUCCAGGUGUAGCGGUGAAAUGCGUAGAGAUGUGGAGGAAUACCGAUGGCGAAGGCAGCCCCCUGGGAUAACACUGACGCUCAUGCACGAAAGCGUGGGGAGCAAACAGG
rnacentral:rRNA from 1 species